rnacentral:lncRNA from 1 species
GGCCGGCUUUUACUAAGCUAUUCAGAGCCAUAUCACAUUCCCUAAGAAUCAAGUUAAUAGAGCAUGCCAGGAGUUCUGACUGUUUGACAAGCAAACGUACUCCAGGCUACAAAUGAUUUUUAAAGAAACAAGGCUACACAUGAUUGUUUACAAUCUUUCUCUGAAAGUUUUCUAUGUCUAUAUGCGACAUUUAAGACUGACAAUUUUGUGUCUAAGCUCAUAAUACGACUGCCCCC